UUCGCCUUCAUGAAGCUGGAAUUGCUAGUAAUGGCAGGUCAGCAUACUGCCGUGAAUACGUUCCCGGGCCUUGUACACACCGCCCGUCACACCAUGAGAGUUGGAAAUACCCGAAGCCUGUGAGCUAACUUAAAGAGGCAGCAGUCGAAGGUAGAGCCAACGAUUGGGGUGAAGUCGUAACAAGGUACC
rnacentral:rRNA from 1 species